UCCUACCGAUUGGGUGUGCUGGUGAAAUGUUCGGAUUGGUAGCCUUUCCGUAAGGGAGACAACUGAGAAGUUCAUUGAACCCUCUCAUCUAGAGGAAGGAGAAGUCGUAACAAGGUCUCCGUAGGUGAACCUGCGGAGGGAUCCAUAGCAAUCAUACAGAUUGGCGAUCAUUCUUGGGAAUGGUAUGGGGCAUUGCCCUAUAUACGCCAUCUCAACCAUGGCCAAGGCUAUGCAUCACCGAUGCUUAGACCCAGGCCUUGUUGCUUAUGUGCCCCUGCACUAUGUGGACUCUACCACCAUAGAAAGCCACGCAGGUGGUACGGGUCGGCAGAUGGCUUCUCUAAGCCUUGCCGGCCGGGCUCCGCGCUAUCCUUUUUGGAUAGCACGUAGGGCUUAAACCCCCUACGAGGAGUCCGCGCCCAUCCUAAAUCCUACCAAACUUUAUCUUGGCGGGCCAGUACCCCAAGUAUAAUUCUAAUAACACUGUACAAUGGAUUUCUUGGCUCCCACGUCGAUGAAGAACGCAGCAAAGCGCGAUAGGUAGUGUGAAUUGCAGAAUUCCGUGAAUCAUCGAAUCUUUGAACGCAUAUUGCGCCCAAUCUUCCGGGAUUGGGCAUGUCUGCCUCAGCGUCGUUAUUAAUGGUACACACCGUAAAUGACUCUUGCUUGAUGGCAUGAGUUGAAGCUAUGAAUUUUGCGUGCAGUGCACGACAGAUCAACAGUAUUCUACCUUCGCUGUUCAUCGUAGGCAAGCUAGCUAGUCAAGCACAUGCUUUUCAUGGACACACGAAGGGUUGUGGAAUAGCUGUUAACCAUUUCGACCUGAGUUCAGGCAGGGCUACCCGCUGAACUUAAGCAUAUCAAUAAGCGGAGGAAAAGAAACCAACAGGGAUUCUCUUAGUAACGGCGAGCGAAAAAGGGAA
rnacentral:rRNA from 1 species